rnacentral:rRNA from 1 species
AUUUAAUAAGGGCGCACGGGGGAUGCCUAGGCUCUUAGAGGCGAAGAAGGACGUGACAAGCUGCGAAAAGUUUCGGGGAGGAGCAAAUAUCCGUUAAUCCGAAAAUAUCCGAAUGGGACAACCCACUAUACUGAAGGUAUAGUAUCACACUUCAAGGUGUGAGGCAAACCCGGGGAACUGAAACAUCUAAGUACCCGGAGGAGAAGAAAAUAAAAAUUAUUCUGCGAGUAGUGGCGAGCGAAAGUGGAAGAGCCCAAACCAUAUAAGUUACGGCUUGUAUGGGGUUAGAGGACUGAGACAUAGAGAGAUGCGAUAUAGGAGAACUACCUGGAAAGGUAGGUCAAAGAGGGUGAAAGCCCCGUAUCCGACAUAUUGUAUUGACUUAUCAGUAUCCUGAGUAGGUCGGGACCAGAGAAAUCCUGAUUGAAGUUGCCGGUACCAUCCGGUAAGGCUAAAUACUACUAAGAGACCGAUAGUGAACCAGUACCGUGAGGGAAAGGUGAAAAGUACUCCGAACAGGAGGGUGAAAGAGAACCUGAAACCGUGCGCUUACAAGCGGUCGGAGUCCCAUAUAGGGAUGACGGCGUGCCUUUUGCAUAAUGAGCCUACGAGUUACAUAUUUUAGCGAGGUUAAGUGCCAGUAGGUAUGAAGCCGGAGCGAAAGCGAGUCUGAACAGGGCGUAUAGUUAGGAUGUGUAGACGCGAAACUUUGUGAUCUACCCAUGGUCAGGUUGAAGGUUGGGUAACACCAACUGGAGGACCGAACUGAUAGACGUUGAAAAGUCUUCGGAUGAACUGUGGGUAGGGGUGAAAGGCUAAUCAAACUGAGAGAUAGCUCGUACUCCCCGAAAUGUUUUUAGGAACAGCCUGGAGAAGAGUAUCAUAGAGGUAGAGCUACUGAUAGGAUGCGGGGGUUUCACCACCUACCAAAUCCUGACAAACUCCGAAUGCUAUGAUAUAUACUCUGGAGUGAGGCCAUGGGUGCUAAUGUCCGUGGCCGAGAGGGAAAGAACCCAGACUAACAGUUAAGGUCCCGAAAUGUGUGUUAAGUUGAAAUAACGAGGUGCGAUUGCACAGACAGCUAGGAUGUUGGCUUGGAAGCAGCCAUACAUUUAAAGAGUGCGUAACAGCUCACUAGUCGAGCGAUUGUGCGUGGAUAAUAAACGGGCAUCAAACACACUACCGAAACUAUAGAUUGACAGUAAUGUCACUGGUAGGGGAGCAUUCUUAUUGAGUCGAAGGCGAACUGUAAGGUUUACUGGAUUGAUAAGAAAAGCAAAUGUAGGCAUAAGUAACGAUAAUGAGGGCGAGAAACCCUCACACCGAAAGACUAAGGUUUCCUGAUCAACGCUAAUCGGAUCAGGGUUAGUCGGGACCUAAGGCGAGGCCGAAGGGCGUAGUCGAUGGACAACUGGUUAAUAAUCCAGUACUUGCUAAUUUAGUGAUGUGGUGACAGAGUAGUUAGCUACCUGCGUACUGACGGAAUAGUACGUUGAAGGGUGUAGUCGUAGAUACAGUAGGCAAAACCGCUGUAGAGAUGAACCUAAUAGUAUCACAAGGCUUCGGCUGCGUGAAUAAUGGUAGUAAGACAAGCUUUCAAGAAAACCCGCUAAACAAAUAAAUUAGGAACCCGUACCGCAAACCGACACAGGUGGUCGAGGAUAAUAUCCAAAGGUGCUCGAGUGAUUCAUGGCUAAGGAACUAGGCAAAAUAACCCUGUAACUUCGGGAGAAAGGGUGCUGUAGAGAUACAGCCGCAGAGAAAAGGCCCUGGCGACUGUUUAACAAAAACACAUGGCUUUGCGAAAUCGAAAGAUGAAGUAUAAGGCCUGACACCUGCCCGGUGCUGGAAGGUUAAGAGGAGAUGUUAUCGCAAGAGAGGCAUUGAAUUGAAGCCCCAGUAAACGGCGGCCGUAACUAUAACGGUCCUAAGGUAGCGAAAUUCCUUGUCGGGUAAGUUCCGACCUGCACGAAUGGUGUAACGAUCUGGGCACUGUCUCAGCCAUGAGCUCGGUGAAAUUGAAGUAACGGUGAAGAUGCCGUUUACCCGUAACGGGACGAAAAGACCCCGUGAACCUUCACUACAACUUAACAUUGAUUUUGGGUAACUGAUGUGUAGGAUAGGUGGGAGACUGUGAAGCUAGCACGCAAGUGUUGGUGGAGUCAACGUUGAAAUACCACCCUUUAUUUACUUGGAAUCUAACUUGAGCGAAUCAAGGACCGUGUUUGGCGGGUAGUUUGACUGGGGUGGUCGCCUCCAAAAGAGUAACGGAGGCUUUCAAAGGUUCCCUCAGUACGGUUGGUAACCGUGCGAAGAGCGCAAUAGCAUAAGGGAGCUUGACUGUGAGACAUACAAGUCGAUCAGGUAGGAAACUAGGAUAUAGUGAUCCGGUGGUUCCGCGUGGAAGGGCCAUCGCUCAAAGGAUAAAAGGUACUCCGGGGAUAACAGGCUGAUCAUUCCCAAGAGCUCACAUCGACGGAAUGGUUUGGCACCUCGAUGUCGGCUCGUCACAUCCUGGGGCUGGAGAAGGUCCCAAGGGUUCGGCUGUUCGCCGAUUAAAGUGGCACGCGAGCUGGGUUCAGAACGUCGCGAGACAGUUCGGUCUCUAUCUGUUAUGGGCGUUAGAAAUUUGCGAGGACCUGACUCUAGUACGAGAGGACCGAGUCGGACGUACCGCUAGUGUACCUGCUGUGGUGCCAACCGCAUCGCAGGGUAGCUAUGUACGGAUGAGAUAAGUGCUGAAAGCAUCUAAGUACGAAACUCACCUCAAGAUGAGAUUUCUUUUAAGGGUCGUUGAAGACGACAACGUUGAUAGGCUACAGGUGUAAAGUCAGUGAUGGCAAAGCCGAGUAGUACUAAUUACCCGUAGAAUU